rnacentral:tRNA from 1 species
AUCUAUAUAAUAUAAUAAUUAUAUUUGAUUUCCAAUCAAAAAAUCUAAAUAAUUUAGUAUAGAUA